GUAAGGAAUAUUGGUCAAUGGGGGCAACCCUGAACCAGCCAUGCCGCGUGAAGGAUGAAGGCGUUAUGCGUUGUAAACUUCUUUUGUAUGGGAAGAAUGACAGGGAUUUAUCCUUGGAGAGACGGUACCAUACGAAUAAGCACCGGCUAACUCCGUGCCAGCAGCCGCGGUAAUACGGAGGGUGCAAGCGUUAUCCGGAAUCACUGGGUUUAAAGGGUACGUAGGCGGUUAAUUAAGUCAGUAGUGAAAGACUGUCGCUCAACGAGGGAUGUGGUAUGGAUACUGGGUAACUUGAAUCAGGUUAGAGUUGGCGGAAUGGGUCAUGUAGCGGUGAAAUGCUUAGAUAUGACUUGGAACACCGAUAGCGAAGGCAGCUGACUGGGCCUUGAUUGACGCUGAGGUACGAAAGUGUGGGUAGCGAACAGGAUUAGAAACCCUUGUAGUCC
rnacentral:rRNA from 1 species